rnacentral:misc_RNA from 1 species
AAGGAUCAUUAACACGUAUCCACGUAUCAACCCCUCUGUGAAAACCUAGAAACAAGCAAGGAUUGGUCUUAGUGCGUUGCCGUUAUGGGUCCUAAUGAUGGCCGGGUUUUCGAACCCGGAGGGCUCGGCUUCGUGUGUUUGACGACUGAUUCGACACUUUUCCAUUGUUGGCCUUUUUUUACUUUAACCCCUUUGUACUUUUUGUACUGAACCAUUCUUCGAUGCUCUCUCCUGAGAGUGACGAAAGAUAUUACGAAACUUAAGAACAACUCUUAGCAACGGAUAUCUUGGUUCCC